GCGGAGGGCCGGAUGGCCGCGACACUUCCCGCGAGGGGGUGGCGAGGAAAGUCCGGACUCCACAAGGCAACGGUGCCGGGUAACGCCCGGCCGGGGAAACCCGAGGGAAAGCGCCACAGAGAACAGACCGCCUGGCCGGCUCGGCCGGGCAAGGGUGAAACGGCGGGGUAAGAGCCCACCGCGGGACGGGCAACCGGACCGGCACGGCAAGCCCCACCGGGAGCAAUGCCGAAUAGGGAUCGCGCGCGGGGUCGGGGAAACCGCCCGCAGGCCAUGUCUUGGCCCGGCGAUCCGGGUAGGCAGCUUCAGGCGCACGGGUAACCGUGCGUCGAGACGAAUGGCCAUCCAAGGGGGCCUGCCCCCUGGACAGAAUCCGGCUUACAGGCCCUCCGCGCGU
rnacentral:RNase_P_RNA from 1 species